rnacentral:rRNA from 1 species
AUACGUAGGAACCAAGCGUUGUCCGGAUUUACUGGGUGUAAAGGGUGCGCAGGCGGAUUUGCGCGUCAGGGGUUAAAGACCUCGGCUUAACCGAGGAAAUGCCUUUGAUACGGCAAGUCUUGAGUACGAGAGAGGAUGGUAGAAUUCCUGGUGUAGCGGUGAAAUGCGUAAAUAUCAGGAGGAAUACCCGUGGCGAAGGCGGCCAUCUGGCUCGUUACUGACGCUCAGGCACGAAAGCGUGGGGAGCAAACAGGAUUAGAAACCCCAGUAGUCC